GAUGAACGCUGGCGGCGUGCCUAAUACAUGCAAGUCGAGCGAACAGACGAGGAGCUUGCUCCUCUGACGUUAGCGGCGGACGGGUGAGUAACACGUGGAUAACCUACCUAUAAGACUGGGAUAACUUCGGGAAACCGGAGCUAAUACCGGAUAAUAUAUUGAACCGCAUGGUUCAAUAGUGAAAGACGGUUUUGCUGUCACUUAUAGAUGGAUCCGCGCCGCAUUAGCUAGUUGGUAAGGUAACGGCUUACCAAGGCAACGAUGCGUAGCCGACCUGAGAGGGUGAUCGGCCACACUGGAACUGAGACACGGUCCAGACUCCUACGGGAGGCAGCAGUAGGGAAUCUUCCGCAAUGGGCGAAAGCCUGACGGAGCAACGCCGCGUGAGUGAUAAAGGUCUUAGGAUCGUAAAACUCUGUUAUUAGGGAAGAACAAAUGUGUAAGUAACUAUGCACGUCUUGACGGUACCUAAUCAGAAAGCCACGGCUAACUACGUG
rnacentral:rRNA from 1 species